rnacentral:tRNA from 1 species
GGAGAGGUGGCUGAGCGGUCGAAAGCGGCAGGUUGCUAACCUGUUGUAGGGCUUUAAAACCCUACCCAGGGUUCGAAUCCCUGCCUCUCCG